CAUGUCUCUAUUUGAUUUUCGUCUUUACUUAUUCUAUUCGUUAUGGGGAGAAGUGGUUGGAGGAUAGUGUUUAGUAUUAGUGUAGGGGAUUAACCUUCACAUGAUAGUUUUGUUUGUUUAGCUUUUGUUGUUCCUGGCAUUAAAUUUGAGCAUAGAGUUAAUGAAGUGUUGACGGCAUAUAUCCUUGAAUGAAUAUGAUGAUAGUGUGUUGGUUAUACUUGAGAAUCAUGUUCAAUUAGAAUAUAGUUUAGUAUGUAAUUAGUUUGAUCACUCAAGUUAGGACAUUCCUAAUGUGGAAGGUCGGAUAUUAAGUGUUUGAAUUUUCUUUUUGAAUGAACGGAAAAGAAUCACAAAAAGCCCCUGUGAAAGUUCGGGCAUGAUUGUUAGUGAUUUUGGAGUGGUCGAACUCACUUUUGUGUCACAUUUAAAAUCACUCUUAAAUAUAACGUUCAUCCAAGAUCAGUUGUAGUGGCCAAAAGGAGUAUGACUUGCUUGUACCAUCAAUCUCAAAAAUAGGAGGGUUGGCUUUUGGCCUUUUCGUGUAGCUUAGGUGGAUGACGAAGAAGGCCGGCCCUUUGUUGGAGGGUGUACAGUCCUUUUAAAAGAAGAGAAAAGUGAUCACUCUUUUCUUUGAAUUCUAAGGUCUAAUCAUCAUGAGUGAAGUAUCAGAAUGUUUCAAGGGAGUCUAGGAAUCCACCCAUCUUGGUUAAUGAAGGAUUCCACAGAGAAGCGUCUUAGUUGCGAGGCAUCAAGUGUCUUUGCCCAUGGAACUCUCAUGGAAGUGGAAGCUCCUGGUCCGUUCCAGGCGUCCCAUCCCUCUGGUGCUACCACUGGACCCAUUAUAGCAUCUUUGAAUAUAACUCUGGAAAAAGGACCAUAUGCUCUCCCCAACAAAGCUUUGCCACUACCCGUUAUGGUGCACCCUUUAAAUACAAAUCCACUUGGAUCUGCUGCUGAUCUUCGACCUUGUGCAGUAAUGAAUCCUUGGUGGACUUGAGGGAGACUUGCAACAUUAACAUUUAUCAAGCAAUCCUACAUUGUCAAAAGAACAUGUUUUUAUGGUCCCAAGUUGCCGUAAAAGUCUCUUCCAAUGGUGUAAAUAACAGAAACAUUGACAUUUGAACUGAGUACCUUAUAAACUGAUUGGCCACUACCAAAGAUGAAGUCUAUGGCUCCUUCAAUGUAGCAAUUUUGGAAGAAAUGGCGACCUUGCACAUCCCAUAACGUGUCUUGAUACCCUUUGAAUCCACAGUUAAAAAAUGCCGAUUUGUCGCCAUAGAUUCUUGCUGCUAUUGCUUGUGUAAUGUAAGUUCCAUCAUCGCAAACAAACAGCUCUGGAGCUUCUUCAAGGUUGAAGGAGUUCUGUGUGCAUCACAAUAACACAUAAUCAAACAUCUUGAUUUACCAUACAAAAGCAACAAUUCUAUAACAAGACAGAUAUUGAGAGUUAUAGAAUCCUGCUCAAACCCCUCUCAGGUGCGUACGCCAUACGAUAUAUAUCAUUAACUAUGAACUUAACUUGGGCUUCAAAAUCUCAAAUGAUGCUAUGAAUAUAAAUUCAGUUUUUAGAAGCCACAGCACCUCAAAAGUAAUGCCUCUAGCAAUAAUGUUAGGAGGACGUGAAGUAAAUGUAGCACUAGUGUCCGUUUGUUGAUGGUCAUCGAAUGUGAUGAUCGUAUUGCUGCGGUCAGCUCCUUCGAGAUAUAUGAAAGGUUUUUCUGGUGGGAUUGUCACCUUUUCUCUGCAAAAGGUGGAACUGAGUCAAUGGCUGCUUGAACGGUCUGGAAAUCGCCUCUUCCCGACUUGUCAACAACAACAACGGAUUGAACUGUAAGGUCAAAGGCUCUUGCAUGAUUCACAGCUUCAAAACCAAAGACAACAGCAUUAAACAGAGUGAAGAGCAAGAGAAAUGGAGGUUGUAGCUGCAUUUUUUACAAUUUUUUUUUUUUUUUUUUGGAUUUAGAUGCCAGUUAGAAAGUAUAAGUCGUUUAUCAUCAGAAUAGUUGUAAAAACUGAAGAGUUAUUAGGCCUUGUAUUCAUACAUAUACAUAGAAAGAAAGAGAUAUUAAUUCAUAAAUGCAAAUUAUUUUGGGAAUCA